rnacentral:tRNA from 1 species
CUUGUUGUUUUAGGUUGAUUUUAGGAUUAUUAGUUUAAUGUUAAGAAUUCUGUUUUUGUAAAGCAGGGGUA